AAUCAACGCUGGCGGCGUGCCUCAGACAUGCAAGUCGAACGAUUAAGACUUCCUUCGGGAAGUGCAUAAAGUGGCGCACGGGUGAGUAACACGUAAGUAAUCUACCCUCGAGUGGGGAAUAAUGUUCGGAAACGAACGCUAAUACCGCAUAAUGCAGCGGCAUCGCAAGAUGACAGUUGUUAAAGGAGUAAUUCGCUUGAGGAGGAGCUUGCGGCGGAUUAGCUAGUUGGUAAGGUAACGGCUUACCAAGGCUACGAUCUGUAUCCGGUCUAAGAGGACGGUCGGACACACUGACACUGAAUAACGGGUCAGACUCCUACGGGAGGCAGCAGUCGGGAAUUUUGGGCAAUGGGCGAAAGCCUGACCCAGCAACGCCGCGUGAAGGAUGAAGUAUUUCGGUAUGUAAACUUCGAAAGAAUAGGAAGAAUAAAUGACGGUACCAUUUAUAAGCUCCGGCUAACUACGUGCCAGCCGCCGCAGUAAGAC
rnacentral:rRNA from 1 species